rnacentral:lncRNA from 1 species
CUCCCUCAGGGCCAGGUCUGGGGGCUCCUGGCUGGGAUGGUGUUUUGUUUUCUUCUAUUUUUAACUUAAAAAUUACGAUAUAAACACUGGGUGUGGUGACUCACGCCUGGAAUCUCAACACUUUGGGAGGCCAAGGUGGGCAGAUUGCUUGAGCCUAGGAGAUCAAGACCAGCCUGGGCAACACUGCGAGACCCUGUCUCUACAAAAAGUUAAAAAAUUAGCCUGGUGUGGUGACGUGCUCCUGCGGUCCCAGCUACUAGGGAAGUUGAGGCGUGAGAAUCGCUUGGGCCUGGGAGGUCGAGGCUGCAGUGAGCUAUGAUUGCACCGCUGCACCCCAGCCUGGGUGACAGAGCCAGACUCUGUCUCAAAAAAAAAAGAAAAGGAGGUAUAUUUUGCAUAUAGUAAAAUGCACCCCUUUCAUGUUUUGUUCUAUGAGUUUUGACAAAUGCAGACCAUCUUACAGCCGUGACCAUGAUUGAGACCAGCCUGGCCAGCAUGGUGAAACCUCAUCUCUACAGAAAAUACAAAAAUUAGCCGGGCAUGGUGGCGAGCGCCUGUAAUCCCAGCUACUCGGGAGGCUGAGGCAGGAGAAUCACUUGAACCUGGGAGGUGGAGCUUGCAGUGAGCCGAGAUUGCGCCACCGCACUCCAGCCUGGGCGACACAGUGAGACUCCAUCUCAAAACAAAAACAAAAACAAAAACAAAACCCAAACCAACGACGUCCUCCUCCAAGGAGGAAGAGAUCACCAUCCUUUGCCGUCAGCCCUGUGCCUGCUGAAGCCCUGACCUGCUCCCUGCCUUGUCUCCAGAAUGUCGCCCAUGUGAGAUUGUACAUCAAGUGCCAGCUUGGCUUUGUUGGGGUAUCCUGUGGUGUGGAUUCCCGUGGUGUGGAUUCCGCGGUGUGGAUUCUUGCGGUGGGGAUGGAGCACACUGUGCUCAUUCGCUUGCUUGUCGGUGGACACAGGGGCAGCUCUCAUCUCUCAGCUCCUGUGAGUAAUGCCUCUGGGAACCUGGGUGAGUACCUGCCUUUCUGAGAUCCUGCUUUCAAUCCUUUUGGGUGGGGACCGGGCGUGGUGGCUCAGCCUGUCAUCCCAGCACUUUGGGAGGCCAAGGAGGGUGGAUCACCUGAGGUCAGGAGUUUGAGACCAGCCUGGCCAACAUGGCGAAACCCUGUCUCUACUAAAAACAAAACAAAAAAAAUUAGCCAGGCGUGGUGGCAGGCGCCUGUCACCCCAGCUACUCGGGAGGCUGAGGCAGGAGGAUCUCUUGAACCUGGGAGACGGAGGUUGCAGUGAGCCAAGAUCUCGCCAUUGCACUUCAGCCUGGGAGAC